rnacentral:rRNA from 1 species
UACGUAGGGUGCGAGCGUUAAUCGGAAUUACUGGGCGUAAAGCGUGCGCAGGCGGUUUUACAAGCCAGAUGUGAAAUCCCCGGGCUUAACCUGGGAACUGCGAUGGAUACUGGCGCGCUAGAGUGAGGUAGAGGAGAGUGGAAUUCCCGGUGUAGCAGUGAAAUGCGUAGAGAUCGGGAGGAACAUCAGUUGCGAAGGCGGCUCUCUGGACCAUCACUGACACUGAGGCACGAAAGCGUGGGGAGCAAACAGG